GACGAACGCUGGCGGCGUGCUUAACACAUGCAAGUCGAACGAAGUGGCGAACGGGUGAGUAACGCGUAAUCAACCUGCCCUUCAGAGGGGGACAACAGUUGGAAACGACUGCUAAUACCGCAUACUGAAGGAGGGGAUUGCGGCUGAUUUGCUAGGUGGAGGGGUAACGGCCCACCAAGGCGAUGAUCAGUAGCAGGGCUGAGAGGAUGAACGGCCCCAGUGGGACUGAGACGCGGCCCAGAAUCCGACGGGGGGCAGCAGUGGGGAAUCUUCCGCAAUGGACGAAAGUCUGACGGAGCAACGCCGCGUGAGUGAUGACGGCCUUCGGGUUGGAAAGCUCUGUUAAGCGGGACGCGGUACCGGAAUAGAAAGCCACGGCUAACUACGUGCCAGCAGCCGCGGUAAUUC
rnacentral:rRNA from 1 species